ACCCAAAGAACGGGGCUCUCUGAACUCCAAACCUGAAAGGAGGUGAUGGUAGGCUACGGCUGCUGGUUCAUGCGAAUUCCCCUGGAUGCGCAUGGCUAGGCUUGGCGCAGGCUAAGGGUUUGCAUGAACUUGGAGACGUUGCUGCCUUGAUCUUUUUGGCAUUGGAGUGAAGGGAGCUCCGUUUUUGCUUUUC
rnacentral:pre_miRNA from 1 species